GGACAGAUGGCCGAGAUGGUUAUGGCGCCAGGUUAAGGUUAUACCUUAAUACAUGUGAUUCGUUCAUAUAGUUUCCUGGUCACGAAAGUGGCGUGGGUUCGAGUCCCACUCUGUUCAA
rnacentral:tRNA from 1 species